GGAUCAUUACAAGUGACCCCGGUCUAACCACCGGGAUGUUCAUAACCCUUUGUUGUCCGACUCUGUUGCCUCCGGGGCGACCCUGCCUUCGGGCGGGGGCUCCGGGUGGACACUUCAAACUCUUGCGUAACUUUGCAGUCUGAGUAAACUUAAUUAAUAAAUUAAAACUUUUAACAACGGAUCUCUUGGUUCUGGCAUCGAUGAAGAACGCAGCGAAAUGCGAUAAGUAAUGUGAAUUGCAGAAUUCAGUGAAUCAUCGAAUCUUUGAACGCACAUUGCGCCCCCUGGUAUUCCGGGGGGCAUGCCUGUUCGAGCGUCAUUUCACCACUCAAGCCUCGCUUGGUAUUGGGCAACGCGGUCCGCCGCGUGCCUCAAAUCGACCGGCUGGGUCUUCUGUCCCCUAAGCGUUGUGGAAACUAUUCGCUAAAGGGUGUUCGGGAGGCUACGCCGUAAAACAACCCCAUUUCUAAGGUUGACCUCGGAUCAGGUAGGGAUACCCGCUGAACUUAAGCAUAUCAAUAAGCGGAGGAAAAGAAACCAACAGGGAUUGCUCUAGUAACGGCGAGUGAAGCAGCAAUAGCUCAAAUUUGAAAUCUGGCGUCUUCGACGUCCGAGUUGUAAUUUGUAGAGGAUGCUUCUGAGUAACCACCGACCUAAGUUCCUUGGAACAGGACGUCAUAGAGGGUGAGAAUCCCGUAUGCGGUCGGAAAGGUGCUCUAUACGUAGCUCCUUCGACGAGUCGAGUUGUUUGGGAAUGCAGCUCUAAAUGGGAGGUAAAUUUCUUCUAAAGCUAAAUAUUGGCCAGAGACCGAUAGCGCACAAGUAGAGUGAUCGAAAGAUGAAAAGCACUUUGGAAAGAGAGUUAAAAAGCACGUGAAAUUGUUAAAAGGGAAGGGAUUGCAACCAGACUUGCUCGCGGUGUUCCGCCGGUCUUCUGACCGGUCUACUCGCCGCGUUGCAGGCCAGCAUCGUCUGGUGCCGCUGGAUAAGACUUGAGGAAUGUAGCUCCCUCGGGAGUGUUAUAGCCUCUUGUGAUGCAGCGAGCGCCGGGCGAGGUCCGCGCU
rnacentral:rRNA from 2 species